rnacentral:rRNA from 1 species
GACGAACGCUGGCGGCGUGCUUAACACAUGCAAGUCGAACGGUAAGGCUCCAGCUUGCUGGGGUACACGAGUGGCGAACGGGUGAGUAAAACGUGGGUGACAUGCCCUGCACUUCGGGAUAAGCCUGGGAAACUGGGUAUAAUACCGGAUAGGACCGCACCGAGAGGGUGUGGCGGAAAGUUAUUUCGGUGUGGGAUGGGCCCGCGGCCUAUCAGCUGGUUGGUGGGGUAGUGGCCUACGAAGGCGGCGACGGGGAGCCGGCCUGGGAGGGGGGACGGCCACAUUGGGACUGAGGCACGGCCCAGACUCCUACGGGAGGCAGCAGUGGGGAAUAUUGCACAAUGGGCGGAAGCCUGAUGCGGCGACGCCGCGUGGGGGAUGACGUCCUUCGGGUUGUAAACUCCUUUCACCAUCGACGAAGGGUUUCUGACGGUAGAUGGAGAAGAAGCACCGGCUAACUACGUG